GAUGAACGCUCGCUACAGGCUUAACACAUGCAAGUCGAGGGGCAGCAUGGUCUUAGCUUGCUAAGGCCGAUGGCGACCGGCGCACGGGUGAGUAACACGUAUCCAACCUGCCGUCUACUCUUGGACAGCCUUCUGAAAGGAAGAUUAAUACAAGAUGGCAUCAUGAGUCCGCAUGUUCACAUGAUUAAAGGUAUUCCGGUAGACGAUGGGGAUGCGUUCCAUUAGAUAGUAGGCGGGGUAACGGCCCACCUAGUCUUCGAUGGAUAGGGGUUCUGAGAGGAAGGUCCCCCACAUGGGAACUGAGACACGGUCCAAACUCCUACGGGAGGCAGCAGUGAGGAAUAUUGGUCAAUGGGCGAGAGCCUGAACCAGCCAAGUAGCGUGAAGGAUGACUGCCCUAUGGGUUGUAAACUUCUUUUAUAAAGGAAUAAAGUCGGGUAGGGAUACCCGUUUGCAUGUACUUGAUGAAUAAGGAUCGGCUAACUCCGUG
rnacentral:rRNA from 1 species